rnacentral:lncRNA from 1 species
CCUACAAUCAGUGCUUUCCUUAGAGUCUGUGCAGAACAGAGCAAAAUUUGACUGAAAGUUGCCCUGGGGUUUUAGCAUAUCUUUAGCAUCUCAUUUACAUUUCAAUUUGUUUUUCUGCAGUGGGCAGAGUGAACUAUGGGUAAAUACCAUGAAGGCUAAAGUGCAUUAUGGGUAAAGUGACCUCAACUCCUUGGAAACAAGAAGACCUUGAGCCAGUCCUGUACAACCAAGAUUACAAAACUCCCUAUUGCAUCAGUCAAAAGAAGAGAAGACUUUGGAAAGGCACAGAGGCAUCCUUUGAAUAUAUGACAGAGGGAGGACAAAGAAGUAGCCAAAGAGGAAGUCUUCCCAAUAAAGACUGGUUGGAUGUCAUAGGGAUAAGGUGGGUGAGAGCAUUUGCUCCAUAGUUUU